GCCCCGCGGUGCAUUAGCUAGUUGGUAAGGUAAAGGCUUACCAAGGCGAUGAUGCAUAGCCGAGUUGAGAGACUGAUCGGCCACAUUGGGACUGAGACACGGCCCAAACUCCUACGGGAGGCAGCAGUAGGGAAUCUUCCACAAUGGACGCAAGUCUGAUGGAGCAACGCCGCGUGAGUGAAGAAGGUUUUCGGAUCGUAAAGCUCUGUUGUUGGUGAAGAAGGAUAGAGGUAGUAACUGGCCUUUAUUUGACGGUAAUCAACCAGAAAGUCACGGCUAACUACGUGCCAGCAGCCGCGGUAAUACGUAGGUGGCAAGCGUUGUCCGGAUUUAUUGGGCGUAAAGCGAGCGCAGGCGGAAGAAUAAGUCUGAUGUGAAAGCCCUCGGCUUAACCGAGGAACUGCAUCGGAAACUGUUUUUCUUGAGUGCAGAAGAGGAGAGUGGAACUCCAUGUGUAGCGGUGGAAUGCGUAGAGAUGUGGAGGAACACCAGUGGCGAAGGCGGCUCUUUGGUCUGUAACUGACGCUGAGGCGCGAAAGCGUGGGGAGCAAACAGGAUUAGAUACCCUGGUAGUCCACGCCGUAAACGAUGAGUGCUAAGUGUUAGGGGGUUUCCGCCCCUUAGUGCUGCAGCAAACG
rnacentral:rRNA from 1 species